rnacentral:rRNA from 1 species
GAUGAACGCUGGCGGCGUGCCUAAUACAUGCAAGUCGAGCGAACAGACGAGGAGCUUGCUCCUCUGACGUUAGCGGCGGACGGGUGAGUAACACGUGGAUAACCUACCUAUAAGACUGGGAUAACUUCGGGAAACCGGAGCUAAUACCGGAUAAUAUAUUGAACCGCAUGGUUCAAUAGUGAAAGACGGUUUUGCUGUCACUUAUAGAUGGAUCCGCGCCGCAUUAGCUAGUUGGUAAGGUAACGGCUUACCAAGGCAACGAUGCGUAGCCGACCUGAGAGGGUGAUCGGCCACACUGGAACUGAGACACGGUCCAGACUCCUACGGGAGGCAGCAGUAGGGAAUCUUCCGCAAUGGGCGAAAGCCUGACGGAGCAACACCGCGUGAGUGAUGAAGGUCUUCGGGUCGUAAAACUCUGUUAUUGGGGAAGAACAAAUGUGUAAGUAACUAUGCACGUCUUGACGGUACCUAAUCAGAAAGCCACGGCUAACUACGUG